UUGAAAGGGAAACGAUUGAAGUCAGUCGUACCAGCGGGAAAUCAACCUUUCGAGUGGGGGUUUUGGAGUUUUGAAGAGUGUCAAAACCUUUGAGAUUUCAAAAUAUUCGCUCUUUUGGUGUACUUUCUCGUGGGUAGGUUAACAUCGAUUUUGAUCAUCAUAAAAAGAUUGGAGGAAUGUAGCUUCGAUCUUGUAUUGAAGUGUUAUAGCCUUUGGUAAAUGUGAUGAUUAGGAUCGAGGAUUGCAACGAAUACCCUUUUGGGCUAUCCGCCUGAUCUCUGAUACGUGGCCUUGGUAUCGAAAGCGUGCUUAUGGUAUUAAGGUAUUACGGUCAAAAGGUUAGAACGGAUUACAUUCGUUAAGGAUGUUGACGUA
rnacentral:rRNA from 1 species